rnacentral:rRNA from 1 species
AUUGAACGCUGGCGGCAGGCUUAACACAUGCAAGUCGAGCGGGGAAAGGUAGCUUGCUACCUGACCUAGCGGCGGACGGGUGAGUAAUGCUUAGGAAUCUGCCUAUUAGUGGGGGACAACAUUCCGAAAGGAAUGCUAAUACCGCAUACGCCCUACGGGGGAAAGCAGGGGAUCUUCGGACCUUGCGCUAAUAGAUGAGCCUAAGUCAGAUUAGCUAGUUGGUGGGGUAAAGGCCUACCAAGGCGACGAUCUGUAGCGGGUCUGAGAGGAUGAUCCGCCGCACUGGAACUGAGACACGGCCCAGACUCCUACGGGAGGCAGCAGUGGGGAAUAUUGGACAAUGGGCGAAAGCCUGAUCCAGCCAUGCAGCGUGUGUGAAGAAGGCCUUUUGGUUGUAAAGCACUUUAAGCGAGGAGGAGGCUACAUGGAUUAAUACUCUAGGAUGGUGGACGUUACUCGCAGAAUAGGCACCGGCUAACUCUGUGCCAGCAGCCGCCGUAAUAC